UUUCAAUCAUUAUUUCCAUCACGCUUGUCUUAUGAGAGUAUAAAGGAUGGGAGGUCCUGUGGUGGCGCGAGUCAAAGUGAAUCACUCAACCUGGUUCCACAGCACACGAGCUUGUAAGAAAAAUGGCUAAAUUAGCGAUCAUCCUAGUUCUUUGCCUGCUGGUUGCCAUGGCGACGGCUGGUGACGACACGAAGGAGACCACGACAACUGUCGCUCCCCUCAACAACGACACAUCCCCGGACGCCCCCGACGCUCCUUCCAAUGACAACUCUUCAACCAAGCCCAGUGCUGACCGGAGAAGAUGAGGACAUCCGAUUGGUCGACCGCUUUGAACACUAUUAGACCUACAGCAUGUUUGAAAUUAUCUACAUCCUUACCUAACCUGAAGAUUUGACAGGUCCGGUUUUUACACAAGCGACUGCCUGUCUGAUCUUUCAACCCGCGAAGGAAAAGCCAGCUCAAUAUAGUCAAAAAAACAGCGGUCAAAGACUUAAAGACCAUUUACUUAUUUAUAACUUCACAGAGUAGACUUUUCUUAAAUAUUCGAAGGUUCUGAUAUACACAAACAAUUUCGUAGAAAGAAACCAAUUUUACUCAAAUGAGGAACUGAUGAAUCAGCAAAGACUCCUUCCGCAAAGCAUUUUUAUAAACGAGCGAUCGACGAAUUAGCAAAGACUUCGAGCGAAAUGUAACGGUAAUACCUUGAUGUUAAGGUUACAAAGGGUCCAGAAAGUGUAACCUACAAUGCAACUAGGUAGCCAAAAUCACUGAACCUACUACGGAAAUAAUGUGUCGUGGGUUUAUCACAACCAAAGGGUUUUCGUAUGAUCGUGAAUCAUAUAAAUAUUUAAAGGAACGUGAUGGACGUCAGGGUGCAGGAAUGGAAAGUUAGUCAGACAACAGAAUAAGAAAUGGCAAGAAAUGACUCGAUGAUGUAAAGACUUGAGUCAUUUCGGUUUAGCCAAUAUUGUUUGUGUAUUUAUUUCAUUGUGUUAAGUGCCAUAAAAAUACGAAGUAGAAUUGAUUUCUUUAAUCAUAAUAAAUUUAAUAAUAUUUUAUAUAUUUUUACCCUCUAACUGCCACGUAAUUCCAAUUUAUCCAACUGCGAAAAAGAGGGUAGUGCGUAAACUAAGAUGGUAAAGCGGGUAGUUUUAUAAGCGGUCGACGAAAUGUUUCGAAUGUAUUAAUAAAUGCUUAGCCAUUUUAGCAAA